rnacentral:rRNA from 1 species
CUCCUACGGGACGCAGCAGUGAGGAAUAUUGGUCAAUGGGCGGAAGCCUGAACCAGCCAAGUCGCGUGAGGGAAGAAGGCCCUGCGGGUCGCAGACCUCUUUGGACGGGGAGCAAGGCCGCCGACGUGUCGGCGGAAGGAGAGUACCCGAAGAAAAAGCAUCGGCUAACUCCGUGCCAGCAGCCGCGGUAAUACGGAGGAUGCGAGCGUUAUCCGGAUUUAUUGGGUUUAAAGGGUGCGCAGGCGGGAGAUCAAGUAAGCGGUAAAAGGUCGGGGC